CCUGCUAACUGCUAUUCAAUGAGACCAAGUUCCUCCUGUCUGAACGUCGCCAAUAAAAUGGUUAAAAAAACAUUUCAUAUAUGAACUGCUUUUCCAUCAUUUAGCUUAUGUAUAUAAUGUUCAGUGUUUGUUGUCACCAACUGUGUGUGACGUGUUUCAUGUACAGAGAAGCGAUCAGAAACCAGAGGCCAGAUUUGAGGCGAGGCAGGCAGUUCUCUGGCCUCAUGGCAGGGGGCGCUCAUGGUCCCAGACAUUGUGACUCCGCAACUGCAGAAGGCUGACUCAGCAUUAAUCUAAACAUGACGGGUCAUAAAACAAACAGGAAGGUGAGAAGAUCAACUUCCUGCUGCUUCCAAGACUUCAGCAGCGCGGGAAACUCUGGAGGAAGAUCUGCAGAUGUGAAACGUCUCCACAUUUCAGCGUGCCACAAAAAAACUAAAUUCAUUCACACAUAAGUCAACAUUAACAUGGCAAAGAACCCACUGAACCAGAACCAGCAACAGAACCAGAACUCACAGGACUACAGCGACCAGAAUGCAUCGUGAUUCAGGCAGGAACCAAACAGGAACUAAAACAACAAUAAACAUCAGACUUUACAUCAUAUAUGAGUAAUCUCCUGGGUUUCAAAACAAAAUGGCAGAAAGGAAACGUUCGUUUUGAAAACGUUUUCGCCCGUCCUCCGUCACAGUGCCGCCGUUUGAGAUACUGCAUUUCCCAGCAUGCCCCUGGCUCCUCCGCUCACAAGGACACACCUCCCUCCAUCGGGGAUGGAAGGACGUCAUGAGGUGAUGAAGACAACACAAAGUUUGGGGUUUUUCUGAUGAAAAGCGUCACCACAAGGUGGCGCUGUUUCGGAGUCAUUAAAAAUUCAGCACCAGUGGGGAAGGGGGACCGGGGGGGG